AUUGAACGCUGGCGGCAUGCCUUACACAUGCAAGUCGAACGGCAGCACGGGUGCUUGCACCUGGUGGCGAGUGGCGAACGGGUGAGUAAUACAUCGGAACGUACCUUAUCGUGGGGGAUAACGCAGCGAAAGCUGUGCUAAUACCGCAUACGCCCUGAGGGGGAAAGCGGGGGAUCGCAAGACCUCGCGCGAUUAGAGCGGCCGAUGCCUGAUUAGCUAGUUGGUGGGGUAAAAGCCCACCAAGGCGACGAUCAGUAGCUGGUCUGAGAGGACGAUCAGCCGAACUGGGACUGAGACACGGCCCAGACUCCUACGGGGGGCAGCAGUGGGGAAUUUUGGACAAUGGGGGCAACCCUGAUCCAGCAAUGCCGCGUGAGUGAAGAAGGCCUUCGGGUUGUAAAGCUCUUUUGUCAGGGAAGAAACACCGGCUCUAACACAGUCUGGGAAUGACGGUACCAGAUGAAUAAGCACCGGCUAACUCCGUGCCAGCAGCCGCGGUAA
rnacentral:rRNA from 1 species